CACGACCUUUCUCUUUUACCAAUGACAGAGUGUGGAUCUCAGCGAAUGAACAAGUUGACUGUCACAUGACAUGUACAAAUCCAAAGGUAGACAAAAUUGUCGCGGAAACCAUUGACAAGAAUCGCCAUGUCAUGGAAGAGAUAAAUGGUCCAAGGAAUUGUCCCUCCUUGGAGUCGAAAGUCUUGAGGUUCAAAGGUCGCUCACAUCAAAUAUGGCUGGAACCUGAAGGUUUGUGUACAUCAUGUAAUACUCUAAUGUACACAGAAAUGAAAUGAUAGAUGUCAAUAUGUAUCAAUGAAUUGUCAAAUUCUUCAACAGUUUCUGCUCAGAGGUUGAAUAUAUUUGAUUCAAUUUUUAAAUUACUAUAAAUAAUAUUACAAUAAUAAUCAAUCAAUUUGAACAUCAAACUGCGUUUUGUUCUGAUGGUACAGUAUUAAACAAUCAGUCAUGAAGAUUACAGACAAAUUAUAGUGCAUUGUCAUUACAGUGGUAAUUGUCUCCAGUUCUAUUCAGAAUUUUGGGAUUGAAUUUUUUUUUUUUUUAAAUCAACUUCAUUUUACAACAAUAACAACAUUAUGAAACAAUAAGCAUCGAUAGUGUAAACAUGCAUAAUUAAGUGGUAAUCCUAUUCUAUUUACAGCUACAUGUAGCACUUUUUGCAAUGGAAGCUUUGUGCUUAUUAAAGUAUGAUUGUGCUGUUCUACUUUCUAUAUACAUGUACUAUGUACUAUUUCUAUGAAAAAAUAAUUUGGAAGCACCAAUUCAUAAUUAUG